GGACCUGAAGUGUUUGGUCUUCAGUCUUAUUGGAUUACACUUCAAGAUUAAGCCAAUCUAGAUGGAACAUUGGUGUGGACACAAGGUGGGGUGGGAGUGCUGCUUUUAAUUACCAUUAUCUAGACAUUUUUGUGUAUAUCAGGGCAGUAUUUUUUUUAUAAACUAUAAAUGAUUGUCUUUAAAAUACAUAACAACAACAACAAAAAAGAAUACUGGAGAGGGUUGCCAUUCCCUUCUCUAGUGGAUUUCCCUGACCCAAGGUUCAAACCUUUAUCUCUUGAGUCUCCUGCAUUGGCAGUUGGAUUCUUUACCACUGUGCCACGUGGGAAGCCUACUGGUUUCAAGCAGUUGGGAACGAAGGAUACCAGAUGUACUUCCCUGAUAGCUCAGUUGGUAAAGAAUCCACCCACAAUGCAGGAGACC
rnacentral:lncRNA from 1 species